rnacentral:rRNA from 1 species
AUGAAAUCUAACUGGGCACCUCGGCCCGAUAAUAUUCCGGUUGAAUUUUAUCAACAUUGCUGGGAGGUCGUAGCUCCGGACCUAUUUGCUCUGUUUGAAUGGUUCUAUGAGGGGAAACUGGAUGUGCAAAGGUUGAACUAUUGCAUUAUUACCUUAUUGCCUAAGUCGAUUGAUGCUAGUAGAAUACAGCAAUACAGACCAAUUUGUUUAUUGCGUUGUCCGUACAAACUUAUUACCAAGGUCAUGGACCUUAGGGCUGGAAAAUAUGCACAUAAACUGUUUAGCAUACAGCAAAAUGCUUUUAUCAAGGGGAGGCAUAUAGUAGAUGGCAUUUUAUCCCUACAUGAGAUUAUGCACUACACUCAUAUCAAAAAACAAAAAGGAGUGAUUCUCAAACUUGACUUUGAGAAAGCCUAUGACAAAGUCAAUUGGAACUUU